UUCUUUGAAUGAUUGUCCUUUCUACACCUUCAAGGCUACUUCCCCAUUGACAGACUGCAAGCGUGUACCCCAGUGAUUUGGUGCUGCUCUGAGCUUUAAGAUGGGUCUGAGAUGAGCUGAGUGCCGUACCCUAAUCUGUGUGAGUGCCCCAACUGUGCUUUGACCUGUGCCUGUCUUUUGACUGUUCUUAAGUCUUACCCCUGAGCUUGAUGUUGGUCCAGAUCCAUCUGAAAUCAGCACAUUUCCAUGAGAAGCAAAUUUCCAAGGGAGCAGCAUGAUGAAAUGAAAGCAAAAGAAAGUCUCAUCCAUGCAACUGCAGUGAGCCGACAAGUCUCUACACCACCCACAGAGAAGCUGAGGUCAAGCCACCACUACAGGGAACAACCAGCUCCACAAAUUUACCCAGGAAGCUACGCUAACCUGGCCAGCUGCAACACACACUGGAAUCUGUGAAAGCAUAUGGCCGACACAUUGAAUUAUGUGAGGAAGGCAAACGGGCCCCUUUUGGAUCACUGCAACUUUGACUAAAUUUCCCCUUUGGAAAAGAGAGGGAUCAUCAAACACUCCCAGUCUCCCAGAACAGCAGAGAGUGAAAUGGAGGCUACAGUAAAUCUGUAACAUACUGAGUGGGUGGAACAUUCAUGAAACCACCUGAAGCCAUGUCUGUAAGGAAUGAUGCACAUAUUCACUGAGAGUGUUAAAAAAUUUAAAUAAACAUUUUAAUAUUAAAGCACA